UGAUGAUGAUGCUGACGAUGAUGAUGAUGAUGAUGAUGACGCAGCUCAAUCUUCACUAUAUUAAUGCUGCUUGACGGUUCAUUAUCGCCCUCACCAUCGCUGCAAAAA
rnacentral:miRNA from 1 species